rnacentral:sRNA from 1 species
CCACCAAGUCGAGUACUACCACCACCAUCCACUAGACCAAUAACUCUACCACAUGGUCGAGUCCCUUAUCAUCAUUCACUCGAUGUCCUUACUGGACUGCUAGCUUCAGAGUCUUCUCCAUUCCGCACUCAACCAGACACUCAAGCACAAGGAAGAAAAGAAGACUUUAGCUUAUCACUCGACCACUCACUCGACCACCUGGGUCGAGUACUGCUCUUAAUCUGUCCUAAUACUACGUCGUUUUGAGUAUUAGGGUUUAAAAAAUAUUUCGCUAUAAGUAGCAUGCACUUUACAUUUUCGAGAACAAGUUUUUAUCUAGUUUUAUUCCGUAGACACUGUGUUCUAGACCUUUUGUAAUCCGGAUUUCUGUUUAUCUAUUCAGUAUUCAGCAUUCGUUCUUGAUUUCAUUUACUUUUGUUCAUCCUGUUAGCAUCCUGCUAUUACACUGUUGUUAUCAUGUUUUCAUCUUGUUCAACGUUUAUGUUCUCUGCAAUGAUGUCUGAGUAGUGAAUCGGUUUCUGAGGAUGGGUUAGAGUAGUGUAGAAUUCUCAAGUAUGCUAGGUGGUUGAGUAUUGAUUGAUAGAUCCCUUCUGGAUUAGUUGUUCGUAAUGCCUAUUGCUUUUUGAUCAACUGGAAUUUGAGUUCAGACAUUUCCGCGCCCAAAAGGUGUUCGAUGAAAUGUCUGAACCACUAAUUCCAGAGAUUCGUGGCCCUGUACCAAGGUAUUGGUUGUAGGGAGCGUUUUGGCUUUAACUUGUUGAUUCGUAAUGCAUGUUAGGUUAGCUCUCGUCAAUGGUGAUUGAGUCUGGGACUAGGUUAACUUGAGGGUCUCUGUUGUGGUGGCACUUAGAUUUGGUUAAUGAACUUGUUGUCUAGGGAUAAUUUAUUGAGCAUAUCAAUCACCUGUAAACUGAGAAAACAAAACUACUCAAUUACCCCAUCCUCGAGAAUUCUUUAUCUGAUUGAAUUCUUUGUUUACUCUAUUGUUGUUUACUGCAUCUUGUCAUCUGUUGCUUAAUUUUUGCAAUUCUUUCUUGUUACUCGACCUCAUACUCGAACACCUAGUUGUCUGGCAACAGACUGUGCAGUCGAGUAUAUGUGUUAUACUUUCUGUCUGUUACUCGACCUGUCACUCGACCUCACCCAGUGCUCUGCAAAGAGCUGUGUUGGUCGAGUGUUUUAUUGUUUCUGCUUGAUUUUCUGUUUUCUGCAUGUUCACUUAGAACUAGUAGAACACAUCAAAACCUUUUAUUGAUUGGCUUGACUUAGUGACUUCUGAUCACAUCCUGAUUGUUAGCAUCACACCCAUUUGGAUUGACAACCUAAAAUACUACAACGACAUGAUUGGUGUUUUAGGAUAAUUGACUAAAAACCGAUUAUCAAUUUGGCGCUGUUACCAAUUGGGUGUUUGUUUGUUACAUUUAAGAUUUCAGAUUUACUUAGAUCAAGUUCUAUUUC